AAAAAUGAUCCAAAUGUUCCACUCGCUGAGUGUGGGAAGACACAGAGCAGCGGGAGGGAAAGAACGACAGAAACUCAGUGAAGGCCAUCGGGAACCUGUGCCAAGAAGCGUUUCGAAGAGGUUAAUAAUGCUCAGAUGCUUUUUCCUCAAGAGGACAAGACCAAGAAUCACAAGCAUCCUGGCAGGCUAAUAAGCUGGGGCUACUUAUACCAAUUAUCUGUCUACCAUGUACUUCAUGGGUUGAGAAGAACCAGAUUCUGCUUUAAUAAAAAUUGUACUAAAUGGUAUGUGAAAUCCUGGAGCUCUUGGAAUAGUAAAAGGGCAUUAGUGGAAAAACUGGUGAUUCAAAUAAUCUGUAGUUUAGUUAAUAGUGCUGUACCAAUGUCUGUUUCUUAGUUUUGACAAAUGCACCGCGGUUCUGUCAAUAAUAACAUCAGGGGAAACUGGGUGAAGGCUAUAAAGGAAUUGUCUGUACUCUCUUUGCAACUUUUCUGGAAGUCUAGAAUUAUACCAAAUUAAAAUAAAGUAUUUAAAAACUCC
rnacentral:lncRNA from 1 species